UACGUAGGUGGCAAGCGUUGUCCGGAUUUACUGGGCGUAAAGCGCACGCAGGCGGUCUGUCAAGUCGGAUGUGAAAUCCCCGGGCUCAACCUGGGAACUGCAUUCGAAACUGGCAGGCUGGAGUCUCGUAGAGGGAGGUAGAAUUCCAGGUGUAGCGGUGAAAUGCGUAGAGAUAUGGAGGAAUACCGGUGGCGAAGGCGGCCUCCUGGACGAAGACUGACGCUCAGGUGCGAAAGCGUGGGGAGCAAACAGGAUUAGAUACCCUGGUAGUCCACGCCGUAAACGAUGUCGAUUUGGAGGUUGUGCCCUUGAGGCGUGGCUUCCGGAGCUAACGCGUUAAGUCGACCACCUGGGGAGUACGGCCGCAAGGUUAAA
rnacentral:rRNA from 1 species